rnacentral:rRNA from 1 species
UACGUAGGGGGCUAGCGUUGUCCGGAAUCAUUGGGCGUAAAGAGCGCGUAGGCGGCCCGGUAAGUCCGCUGUGAAAGUCGGGGGCUCAACCCUCGAAUGCCGGUGGAUACUGUCGGGCUAGAGUGCGGAAGAGGCGAGUGGAAUUCCUGGUGUAGCGGUGAAAUGCGCAGAUAUCAGGAGGAACACCGAUUGCGAAGGCAGCUCGCUGGGACGUCACUGACGCUGAGGAGCGAAAGCAUGGGGAGCGAACAGG